CGCUUCGGGUAGGUUACGCGAGUAGGUAAAGAAGUACUCCUCCGAAUCCACCGGGUUUCGCCCGCCGCCGACUUUGCCCCUUCUGUCUCGUGUUCAUCGACCGGCGGUUUAUUUGGUCUUUCUUAUUCUGGUUUUCUUGGCGCCGCUGAUCGAUUGCUUUCCAACCAUUGAUUCGUGGAGAUCUGAAACCCUUAGGAACCUUGAGGAACGAGUACGAUCGCCGCAGCCGUGCCGAAGGUGGCGGUUCCUAUUUCUCAACAGCCCUAGAAUUGAUUAGACAAGGUUAACGACUCCGCUCUGUGGCAGGACUGGAUCUUCCCGCUCUCAUAAUCUUCGAACGAUCCUUUCUCUCUCUCUCUCUCUCUCGCUCGCUCGUUCGCUAAUUCGACCAAUCGGUGCCCCGUUGGUAAUCUUUGAAAAGGUUUAUCUUGUUUGCUUUUGAGAUAAUAAGGGAUUGCCUUUGACAGUUCAAAUACUCAUUUAAUCUUUUUUGGUGGGAAAACUCAAAUUUUAGGAUUUCGACAAGGAAAAAAUGAUUGAAGUUGUCGAAAGAAGAACGAAAGAUUAAAUCUUGCAGAUUCAACUGAUUUGAAUCGAAUAUAGGGUUCCAGUAUAUUGUUGGACGACGCAAAAGGUGUUCCAUUUCUUGAAUUCCUUGGUAAAUGGUGGUGUGCUUUAGUGCCUCUUCAUUUGUUUUCCGUGCAACUGGUUGUUUACACCUGAAUGUGCAUGCGUUAUAUUGUUUUGCUUAUGAUAGUGUUGUUGCUUUGUUGUUUGAUUGCAACGAGGUCGAUCAUCUUCGCAUUUCUAAGUAAGGCCCAACAAAUUGGAAUUGAGGUCCCUUUUAACUUCAUUCUUCUGCUGUCUCUGAGCGUCCAGUUCAACAAUGGUUGUAACGUUUCUAUUUUUGAAGUCCUUCAACAUAUUCUUGUUGAUUUACCAACUUGCAUUCUUCACAACUUAUGCUCUUUCAGUACUUCUCUGGGUUGAGGUUCAUUGUCAGGUUUGAAAUUGAUUAGUAAAGAAGUGGUCUUUCUUAAUUUCCCUGUUUCUUGGUCAUUCUUGUGCCUCGAGCACAUUCAGUAUCAACUGAUGGAUUCAAGCCAACUUUCUUUUAAAUUAAUAAGGUAGUUUACUCUCUACCAGUAACUUUGAUUAAAUCAUAAAGCCUGGAUGAAGUAAACAAUAUGUAUGCCUCCUUUUUCCUUCUUGUAGAGUAGAUUUAUGGUUUACUUGCCUUAAAUUUGUUGCUUAAAUAUUGCUCUAUAUUUCCGAUACUUCUUGUAUGAGUUGUAGACUUUGUAUAUCAUUGGAACUUCAGAAAUUGAAAAUAUAUAUACAACAGAAUAAAGUAGUUGUAGAUCCUUUCUCUUUUCUGUAGCCAACUCAUCUUUUAGGCUUGUGCAACAAAAACUACUAAAUUAUUUAGUCUCUUGGAACCAUAUUUUUCCAUCCUCUGAAGUCAUGAAUUUUGAGCUUUAGAUUUUGUGAGACUUUUUAACUUAAUUCGUUGAAAUAUGGAUGGAAAAGUAUAAUAUUCCUUUUUUUUGGAAUUUAAGUUUAGUUUUGUUGGAGUUCUGUUAGAAUCCAUCCUGUGCUUAUCUUGUCGAAGCUGUAUUUUUCAGGUAGUGUUUGAUUACAGUUGUUGGUUUUAUACUAGAUGCAACUUCUACUAGUUGAUGAAUAAAGCAGGAAAAUAUGGAUUAUUAGGUGUUUCAUUCUUUCCAGCCCUUGGGUUUCUCCUUUACUGAGGAAGGUAAGUUUUUUAUCAUACUCUUCCCUGAUAUGUGAUCCAUCCAGUCUUAAUGUGUUUUCUUCAAAUUUUUGUAAUUUUCAGUCUCUCUGUUGUUACUUAUGUCCUUGUUGCAAAUCAAUCAUAGAGUUCAUAUUUGAUUAGCAAGAUAACUCAAACCUAAAAUAUCAUGCUCAUUUAUACCUUUAUUUAUCAUCCUUGCUUCUGUUUUGAUACGUAAGAAUCAUUUAGUUAUAUCUACUUCAUCUGAUGACGGGUGUUCUAAGAUUUAUACAAUUCUUGUGGUGUCUCUGCUUGAGCUAUAUGGCCAUUAUGACUGGUUGCAGGUAUGCUCUAACUUAGAUGAGUGGGUUAUCUCAAACAUGUGUGCACGACAAGAUUUAAAAUCUCAUGGUAUACUACUUGUACCAGGUGGUAUCUGCUGGAGUGUUACAUGGUCAGUCUAGCGGUAUACAGUGAUUCAGGGCAAACCAGCCUUCAAUGCUUUAAAUGAUACAGUUCAAGUAUUGGACUGGUCCAGCUUGUGAUUUUAAUGGUAUAUUGCCUGUACCAGGGGGUCUAUGCUGGACUGGUACAUCGACAGUCAACUACCAGGCAAUAUUCAGUGAUUCAGGUUGGAUUUGCCACAACUGUAUGUUUCUCUUGUUUCUUGCCGGGAUGCAUCUUGAAAGUUCAAUCCCUGGAAAACAGUUCUUGGUUUAAAUGCAAUUGACAAAGCUAUAGACCUCGACGUUCUCAGCAUCAUGCUAAGGCGCACAAGACAGAGGAGCUACAGCUAAAGAUGUGUCAUCUUCAGAGUAUCCAAUCCCUGGAAAACAGUUCUUGUUUUAAAUGUAUUGGACAAAGCUGCAGACCUCGACGUUCUCAGCAUCGUGGUCACCAUCAUAGUAUCCAAACUCCAUCAAUCGAGUUCAUGUGCUCAUUCUCUGCUGGCUGCAGUGUUGUUGUUGAUGCAGCAAGGCGCACAAGACAGAGGAGCUACGGCUGAAGAUGUGGAUGAUGAAGCCGCAGCCACUGGGUGUCAUCUUCACAUAAACGUGAGACAUGAAUCCCUGUCCUUUUCCACAGUUUGCUCGUGCAUUACAAUUAACAUGGCUGAUGGGCAUCCCCAGCGGUACGGCACAUUCAAUCCGAAUAAAGAUUGGAACAUGGCUCACCACAUGGUGGUCCUUUUUGACUUUGA